CCUAAUUCUACUCCCCCUCUUUUUUUGGUAAAUGGGAGCGUUGAGAUUGAAGAAUUGAGAAGGAUGAAGGCCUACAUGACAAGGAGCAAGGAACUCUGAUGAAGGUAUGGAGAAGUUCAUGCGUGGUGAUGUCCUUUAAUUUGAAAGCCUUAUAGAAAUAUUUUGAUAUGUUGGUGUUGUAUGUAGGAUUUUCAUUUGGAGGAUGAUAUUAGUGUGUUUUGAAGAAUGUUGUAGCUUUUUAGAUGUUGGAGAUGUUGUAAUGGAUCUUAUUUGUAAAUGUUGGAUGGUUGAUUAUUAUCAAUGUUGAAAUGGGCAUCUUCAAUA